UACAUGUGGGGCAAGCGUUGUUCUGAAUUACUGGGCCUAAAGGGUGCGUAGGCGGCUUUUUAAGUCAGGGGUGAAAGUUUUCGGCCCAACCGGAAAAUUGCCUUUGAUACUGGCGAGCUUGAGUGCGUGAGGGAUGGGGGGAACGAGCAGUGUAGCGGUGAAAUGCGUAGAUAUUGGAAAGAACACCGAUGGCGAAGGCACUCUACUGGGCUAUUACUGACACUCAGAGACGAAAGCUAGGGGAGCAAAUGGG
rnacentral:rRNA from 1 species